UGAGCAACCUGCCCUUGACCCUGGAAUAACAGCUGGAAACAGCUGCUAAUACCGGAUAUGACCUCCGAUGGCAUCAUCUGGAGGUGGAAAGCUCCGACGGUCAAGGAUGGGCUCGCGGCCUAUCAGCUAGUUGGUGUGGGUAAUGGCCCACCAAGGCGACGACGGGUAGCCGGCCUGAGAGGGUGACCGGCCACACUGGGACUGAGACACGGCCCAGACCUCUACGGGA
rnacentral:rRNA from 1 species